rnacentral:lncRNA from 1 species
AGGGGCAGAGCGGCAGAGGGGCAGAGGGUAGAAGCACUGAAAGAAGAGAAGAGGCACCCAGUUUGGGCAGGAUGAAUAUUAGCGAUCUCAGAGCAGCUCUAACACAUGGGACAAGAAUGGGAGCACUCUGCUGAAUGAGCACAGCCACACAUCUUAGAGCACUCAGCAUGGGACGGCACCUGGCUGCUCUUCCUUUCAGUUCUCUUUCUAUGGCUGGUUAGCACUGAGCAUCCACAAAACCAUUCUCCCUGCUCCCAUCUCACCCUGACUGUGAACUCCUUCAGCAAGUUCCUCGCACCAGUAGUCACAUCAUGGACUUCAUUAUCAGCACAGAUGGUGCCAAUUAGCUUCUGCAUGAGGCUUUGAUAUGGAAAGAGCAACAGAAGCCUGUGUGGUCACCCAGGCAUGAGUGCCUCUGGCUUAGGGACAGCAGUGUCUUUACCUUCCGCAGCUCAUCAUCCACCUGUGCUCAAUCUGUCAGAAGACAGUCUCAGCCUGAGCCCAACUUACAACACGC